rnacentral:rRNA from 1 species
UACGAAGGGGGCUAGCGUUGUUCGGAAUCACUGGGCGUAAAGCGUAUGUAGGCGGAUUGUUAAGUCAGGGGUGAAAUCCCGAGGCUCAACCUCGGAACUGCCUUUGAUACUGGCUAUCUUGAGUCCGGGAGAGGUGAGUGGAAUUCCUGGUGUAGCGGUGAAAUGCGCAGAUAUCAGGAAGAACACCCGUGGCGAAGGCGGCUCUCUGGGACGGUACUGACGCUGAGACGCGAAAGCGUGGGGAGCGAACAGG